UGAGGAAUUUUGCGCAAUGGGGGCAACCCUGACGCAGCAACGCCGCGUGGGUGAUGAAGGCCUUCGGGUCGUAAAGCCCUGUCAGGUGGGAAGAAAGCCCUGGGGAUGAAAAAGCCUUGGGAGUGACGGUACCACCAGAGGAAGCACCGGCUAACUCCGUGCCAGCAGCCGCGGUAAUACGGAGGGUGCGAGCGUUAUUCGGAAUUACUGGGCGUAAAGCGCGUGUAGGCGGCUUGACAAGUCUGAUGGGAAAGCCCUGGGCUCAACCUGGGAAGUGCAUUGGAAACUGUUAGGCUUGAGUACCGGAGAGGAUGGGGGAAUGCCCGGUGUAGAGGUGAAAUUCGUAGAGAUCGGGAGGAAUACCAGUGGCGAAGGCGCCCAUCUGGACGGCUACUGACGCUGAGACACGAAAGCGUGGGGAGCAAACA
rnacentral:rRNA from 1 species